rnacentral:rRNA from 1 species
AUUGAACGCUGGCGGCAUGCCUUACACAUGCAAGUCGAACGGUAACGGGCCUUCGGGUGCCGACGAGUGGCGAACGGGUGAGUAAUGUAUCGGAACGUACCUUUCAGUGGGGGAUAACGUAGCGAAAGUUACGCUAAUACCGCAUAUUCUGUGAGCAGGAAAGCAGGGGAUCGCAAGACCUUGCGCUGAUUGAGCGGCCGAUAUCCGAUUAGCUAGUUGGUGAGGUAAAGGCUCACCAAGGCGACGAUCUGUAGCGGGUCGGAGAGGAUCAUACGCCACACUGGAACUGAGACACGGUCCAGACUCCUACGGGAGGCAGCAGUGGGGAAUUUUGGACAAUGGGGGCAACCCUGAUCCAGCCAUGCCGCGUGAGUGAAGAAGGCCUUCGGGUUGUAAAGCUCUUUCGGCCGGGAAGAAAUCGUAUCAGCUAAUACCUGGUGCGGAUGACGGUACCGGCAUAAGAAGCACCGGCUAACUACGUGCCAGCAGCCGCAGUAAUAC